GCGAGAUUGGCGCAGCGGUAGCGCAGUUGGUUUACAUCCAAUUGGUCGGGAGUUCGAAUCUCUCAUCUCGCACCA
rnacentral:tRNA from 1 species